UGCCCUCCUCUCUUCUCCUCUGGAGCUUUCGUUCCGGUCGCGCCUCCGCCCUCCAUCGCCCGAGCCGCCUCCUCGCGUCUCCGCGACCGUCUCCUCCCCCUUGUCCAUCAAUUCCCGAUUCGUUUCGAAUCGCGUCUGAUUUGAUUUCGUUCACUCGCCGUUGCUGUUGCCUUGCUGUGCUCGCAGGGUGCUCGAGUCCGGCCCGUCUCCUCCGCCUCCGUGCGAGCCCGGGAAGUGAUCGAUCGGGGAUUCAUUCAUUUGGUUUGCGAUCUGUCUCAGAAUCUAUUUGGUGCGCACACUUCUGUUCGUUGCAACUGUGGAUCCCGUGAUCCUCGUUGUAUUCGCAUCCGCCAGUGUUGGUCGCAGGAUCGUGCCUGGUUUUUGGAAUUGGAGCUCUGAUUGUGGAGCCGGAUGCCGAGGCAAGGUCAGUUUCCCGUGCUCGCUCAGAUCGCUUCCUUGGUUCUGUCACCUGCGUUCGUCCGUGAUAUAUUCCAGCUUUCAAAUCAAAUGGAUAUGGCCCGUGUGAUCCGCUGAUUCCCCGAGCGCUGUGGCUUUUUUCCUAUCAUCCGUUAGUUCGAGCCAUCGAGGUGUAUUAAUUCGAGGCCCUCGUAGAAGAGCCUUGUUGUACAGGCUGAUCUCGGUUUUGGUAUCUUGUGCUCUCACCCUAGAUGCAGAGGAAGCCAGAGGGCGCGCUAGUUCUGCGGAGGUGGAGAUCUUCUCGGGUGAUGAAGCUUAGGAUCUCUUACCAACCUGAACCUGCAAUCCGCGUUUGGAUAAUAUAAAUAAAUCCCUCCCAAUUUUAGUUUCUUGGUCUGCACACUAGUCAACGGCAAUUCUGAUCUGAAUUCUUUGCUUCUCCAGAAAUUAUAAAUUGGAUUACAUGGCAUAGCGGGAGCAACAUCUGCGUUUGGAUGAUUAAUUACCCCCUCUAUUUAAUUCCUUAAUCUACACAGUUCAAUCUUAGUCAGUUCUGAUUUAGAUUGAAAUCUCAUUUAGAUUUGUUGAUGGUUGUCCAGAAAUUGGGAUUAUACGCCUUACUGGGAGCAACUUGUCAUUCUUCCUCACCUGUGUUUGGAUGAUCAUUCCCUCUCUGUUCAUUUCUUUUCUCCACAGUUCAAUUAGUCUCCACACAAUUCUGAUUUGGAUUUGUUGCUGGUACUCCAGAAAUUGGAAUUAUAUGGCUUAGCGGGUGGUCCUCUUUUCCCUCGGCGUGGCGGUUCCUUUUCUGUGGCCCAACAUUUUUCUCAAUAAUAUAAUUAAAACAUACCAUACAAUUUUCUCUGCCUUAGUUUGUCAAUUCUCAGCUCUUGCAGAUAUCAUCUUGGAAGGGAUAUAAAUGGAACCGGUGCUGUCUACCUGACCUUCCCAGACAAGACUUUCUUAUAACUUUUACCUCCUCAUUUGAAGCAUGCUUUAGCUGAGCCUUAGUUUCCCCCUAAUUUACAGAGAAGUAUCUUGCUCGUUGCCGGUUUGACGAGUUGCAGUUUUGACAAACGCAAAGUCUAACCUGAUGUUGAGUUGAAUCUGUUUGCAGUUUUUCUAAAUCUAAUCAAUUCAUUAUUAAUUGGAUGACCUUUAAGAUCUCUCAUCAGGCAAUAUUUUGAAUUCAGAUUCAUCUGCAAAGGUGCAAGAGUGGAGCUUCAAACUAAUGGCACAUCCUACAACAGAAGAAGACUCUGCUCCAUUUUUAACUCCUGCCUCUUAAUUUUUAUUCACAUAGCUACUUGUUCAUGCAUUUGAUUUAGGCUUUUUUGCUUCUGCACCCCUGUGAUUGCAGAUUUAUUUUAGCCCAGCGCGUGUUGGUACUUGGUAGUGAGUCGAAAUCUGUUAAAAUUGGUUGGUUUGCAAUCUAUCUCUAUGCGGUUCAAUUCGUUAUCUGUACUCUUAUCCUGUCGACUGCAGGACAUAUUUAGGAAGUUUGGGCUUAUGGGCAAAUCUCUGUACAGUGAGUCAGGUCAGUGUUCUCUCAACGGUCUGUUUGGUUUAGUUGUUCCUCCACACAUUGGUUGCAGGAUUGGAUAUGGAACGUGGUGUUAUAUGUUGAAGGGGAUUUGAGCAGGUCAGGUUUGAAUGGCUAUCGCCUGUGUGGUCUUCUGGUUCUCAUCACAUGUUUCUUCAUUAUCAGCUAAUAUGAGGUGGAUUAGAGAGGUCCUGGUGGAUUCUUAUUGUAGCAGCUGAUCGCACUUUUGGUCUGUGUUUGUGCUCCUUUGCUUGCAGCAGAUGCAGGAGUGUAGUAGUUCUGCACAGAUGAAUAGGGUGGAGAUUUGGUUUCUGUUCGUCAUUUUGAUUGAUUGGAUAAUGAAGCUUUGAUCUCUUACUAACCUGGAACUUAUGAUCUGCGUUUGGAUAAUAUAUAUUCGGUCCCAAUUCAGUUUAUUUGGUUUGCACAAUACAAUUUAGCCCUUGGUAGUUCUGAUCUGUAUUCGUUGUGGUUUUCCAGAAAUUAGGGUUAAUUGGGUUCUGUUCAUCAUUUUGAUUGAUUCGAUAAUGAAGCUUUGGAACCUGGAACUUGCGAUCAGCAUUUGGAUAAUGAAUUCCGUCCCGAUUAGUUUAUUUGGUUUGCAUAGUACAAUUUAGUCCUGGCAGCUCUGAUCUGUAUUCGUUUGUGGUUUUUCAGAAAUUUGGCUUAGUAAGGUUUAGCAGGAGCAACCUAUCUUGCUGAUCUGCAUUUGGAUGAUCACGAACCCCUCUAUUUAAUUCCUUCUCCUCAAUUCAAUUUUAUUCUCCGACAAUUCUGAUUUGGAUCUGUUGCUGGUUGUCCAGAAAUUAGGAUUACAUGGCUUAGUGGGAGCAGUAUUGAGCCGGAGUGACCUAUCUUCUUGCUGACCUGCGCUUGGAUGAUCAUUACUCUCUCUGUUUAAUUUCUUCUCCAUAGCUCAAUUAGUUGCCCGACAAUUCUGAUUUAGAAUUUCUGCUGGUUCUCCAGAAAUUGGAAUUAUAUGGCUUAGCGGGUGACCCUAUUUUUCCUCGGCAUGGUGGUUCUUUCUGUGGUCCAACAUAUCCAACCUUUUAUCCUCCCUUGAUAAUUGAACUUUCAAAAUGUUAUUUUCUUUGCCUUGGUUGGUAAUUCUCAGCUCGUGCAGAUGCUGACUUGGGGGCGAAAUAAUUGGAACCAGUGUUGUCUACCUGACUUUCCGGCCAAGACAGGCUUACUUACCCUUUACCUCAACAUUUGAUGCAUGCUUUAGCUGAGCCUAGUUUUCCUCUUGUAACUUAUAGAAAGGUAUCUUCCUCGUUGCAGAUCGUACUUGAUGAACUCGUCCAACCUGAUGCCGACUUGAAUCUGUUUGCAGUUCUUCUAAAUCAACUAUUUUCUCAAUUCAUCAGAACUUAGUCAACCUUUAAAAUUAUCUUACCAGACAAUAUUUUGAAUUCAGAUUUAUCUGCCAAGGUUCAACAAUGGAGAUUCAAACUAAUGGAACAUCUUACAGUGAAAAAGGCUGCUCCAGUUUUAACUCACCUCUUAUUUUUGUUUCACGUAGCUACUUGUUCAUGUCUUUGAUUUAGGUUUUUCCUUCUACCCUCCAUUUGGUUGCAGAUUAAUCCCAAACCAUGCUGGUAGUGAGUCGGAAUCUGUUAAAAUCGUUUGGUUUGUACUCUUGAUUCCUGUGCUGGUCUUCUGCGUGUAUCAGUUGCAGGAUAUAUUUAGGAAGUCUGAGCCUAUGUGCAGGAUAUUUGGAUAUGUUCGUGGUUCUCCAGAAAUUGGAAUUAUAUGGCUUAGCGGGAGCGACGCAUCUUGCUGCUCUGCAUUUGGAUAAUUAUCACUCCCUCUGUUUUACUCUUUCGUCUCCACUGUUCUGUUUUGGUUCUCCACAAUUCUGAUUUAAACUAUAUCUUGGUGGCUCUCCAGAAAUUGGAAUGAUAUGGCUUAGUAGGCGGUCCUAUUUUUCCUCGGCAUGGUGGUUCCUUCUGUGGCUAAAACUUUUUCAACCUUUUUUACUCUAAUUGAACUCUAGACAUUAGGUUCUCUUUGCCUUGGUAAUUAUCAGCUCUUGCAGAUACUGACUUGGAAAGGAUAUAACUUCAGUUUGGAACUGGCGUUGUUGUCCUCCAUCAUCCAUACCUGACCCUAGACAGGCUUUACUUGUUCCCACUCAUCAUUCAUGCUUUUGCUAUUUAUAAGCAGCAUUUCCCCUAACAAUUUUUUUAUAGAAACGGUCUCUUGCUCGCUGCAGGAUGUAGUUGACGAACUCCUGUCCAGCCUGACGAUGAAUCCGUCUACUGAUCUUCUAAAUCUACUAGUGUCGUUUCAAUUCAUUGUAACUUAUACAUAACCUAUAACUUAUCUUACUAGACAAUAUUUUAAAUACAGAUUCAUAUGCAGCACGAAUAUAAGGAUAAUCCAGAGCUUUCAACUAAUGACACAUCCUACAACCGAAAAAGAUUCUUACCUUCCUAUUUUAUUUUUCAUCUAGUUACUUGGCCAUCUCUCUGAUAUAGGUUUUUGCCCCUGCCCUUCCUAUGGUUGCAGAUUUUUCUUUAGCCCAGGCCAUGUGGGCAAUGACUAGCUCUCCAUGCUUGUUAUCUGUACUCUUGAUCCCUGUGUUCUCUUGGUCUUGUGUGUGGGUUGGCCAAGUAAUUGUUAUUAGGAGUUUGGGCCCAAACCUUUGCUCUGUACAUGGAGGUCAGUGUCUCGUAGACAGUCUGUUUGUUUCAUUUGUUAUCGCAGUACUGGAUCUUGAUCUGGUUUGGGAGUGAAGCUCCAUGUGGUGUGUGAACGUAUGGUGAAGGGGACUCGAGGCAGGUCAGUUUCCCAUGCUUGGUCACACUGGUUUACUGGAUUCCUCAACUGUGCUUGGUGACGUCAGAUUUGAGUGGCUAUACAUUAAGUUCUUCGAUUUAUGUUUGUCUAAUGGCUGUUUGGGAUCUUCGUUUGGAAUCUUCCUUCAACCACAAAAACUUACACCUGGACUCCAUGCUUGUUUCAACUGAUUUACCAGAUUUCACUAUGGUCUGACUUUCCUUGAAGAAACUUGAAGUAUGCUGAUUAUAUUUGGGCCGUUAAUUGAUUUGCAUUGUUGGAGGUUUUAUUGCAAGAUUGUAGAGUUGGAUAGUCAGUUAGCGCGGGGACUUGGUGAAGCAAAUGGACUUCCCUGAUGGUUUUGACCUCUGAUUACUGAUCCUGAAGCAUAAUGAUUUGGUCUUUGUGGUAGUUUUCAGUUUGAACUUGCAUUCAGUGGCCUCAUAUCUUUGGUGCAGCUUGGAGUUGGUAGUGUGUGCAUCUGAUUCUUUCAACUGUCCUGAAGCAUCUUACUAGGUUUCUGUUGUGCCAUCUUACUGGUUACGGUAUAUGAUAAAAAAAAUAUUACUGGUUACGGUAUCCUCUUCCAACUUGGAUGGAAUAUGAUCUCAUCUUUUGCUCGAAUCAAGAAAAUGCUAGAAGUCUUGCAAAAUGGAAAUAUCAGUUCGUACUCAGUCUGUAUAGCAGAUUAUCAAAGUUUGGUUUGGCUAUUAAUUACCUGGUUACCAUACUGUUUCAGGAAGUUUUGUUUUGAUAUUUGGCUGCUUGUAUCUUUCAAUUUGCAAAUAUAUCACGUAGUAGGAAGUAAAAGAUCGCAUGUACAUGAGCUCUGAAUGCAGUUAAAAUGUUAAUGCAUAUUAUAUAUAUACACAUGAAUUGGUUACACUUGGAUUUGUUGGUCUACUAUUCUACAUAUAUACAUGAUUGCACUUGGUUUAUGUAUAUUAUGUAUAUACAUUCUUUGGGUUCAUCUUAUGACACAAAAUCAACUUUUGGUGUGCACAUAUUUUUAACUUUGGUGAUAAAGAAAGAUCCCACCCUCGCACUUGUGUUGGUUUAACAGUAGUGGCCUCCUGUGUAGUAGGGUAAUACUGAUGACUUGAUAUGCAGAAAGAGGUUAGGAGUUAUUGCUAUAUAUACUAUAAACAAUGGGGAGUUGGAAGGUUCUGAACUGGAAGCUUGAACAAAAUUUUUGCCCUGAACACUCCGCUCAUGUCCACUGAAUAUGAUUCUGGUUUGUUGGUACGGAGUUGAUUUUCAGAAGUGAUGUUCUUCUCAUUGGUGCUUCUCCAGUGAGAUCUGGAUUCUCGGUUUGCUGGGGAACUUCCUACUUUAAAGUGACAACUAGCAAAACAGUGGCUAAUUUGAUGAUUCUUAAACACUUUGGCUAAUUUGAUGAUGAAUCCUGCUGAUUACUUUCAACAUAUGGCAGUUUGUUUCGUAUUUCAUUCAUCCUGGAUUUGAAGACACAAAGCGCUCACACAUCUCUAUGGUCCUCCGAUGGCUAAUUUUAUCUCUUAUGGCGAACUGCUAAUUUGAUCUGGAUUAUGGAAUCUUCCAUUACAUAUUCUUAUUAAAUCUAAAAUUUCAUGGUGUUCACACAUCUUAUGGUCCUGUAGUUGCUAAUUUGAACUUCUUUUCACCGAACUGCUAAUUUGAACUUCUUUUCACCGAACUGCUAAUUUGAUAUGGAUUAUGGAAUCUUCAGUUACAUAUUCUUAUAAAUAUAUAAUUUCACAGCGUUCACACAUCUUAGGUCCUCUAAUGGCUAAUUGAGCUUCUUUUCCAGCAAUUUGCUAAUUUGAUCUGGAUUCUGAAUCUUGAAUCGCAUGUUCUCUUUAAUUACAUAUAUUCUUAGUUUUCGGGCAACUUCCUAGUUUUAAAAUAGUUGGCAACUAGCAAAACUACUAAUUUGAUGAUUCCUGCCGAUUGCAUAUUCUUAACUUGGAAAUUAGAUAAACCCAUUCUGUUUCAUACAGUCAUACUACAUAAUAAAUCCUAGAUUUUGAAGACACGGAAGUCUGUUAACACACCUUACGGUCCUCUGACCCUAUAAUGGCAUAGAACUACUAAAGCUUUCUCUGUGCAAAGAUUGGAAUCACGCUCAUCCCACUAGAUAAAUUAGUUACUCCCAUUCAGGUUCUGGAAUUUAUGGCAUUCUUUGUUUGUUCCGCACGGCAUGAAUAUUUAUUGCCAAUCGUGUGUCAUGCCAAUGCCGCCUUUGGUUGGUUGCGUGGCUUGUAUGCUUAGCUCAAUAUAAUUGUUUGUAGUGUUUGCUGUUUUUUGUGUUUAAGUAGGAGUAGUUUAACACUGCCUUUGCCGGUCCCAAGCCCGGAUGAGAAAAUGUGGAGGGGACUGCAGUUAGCUCCUCUGUAUCCUUUGCAUUAGAACUGUCAUGGUCUCUUAAUAUUUUACAUUGAGUAGCAGUGAAUGAAGCGAGUAGAAGUUGCACAGAUUGUCCAGUCGAAUACCGAAUCGUCACACAAUGUGGUGGCAAGCUUUGGAAUGCAUCCUUUGCUAUGAAGAAUCUGGGCAAGUGUAAUUUUGUAGUCAGUCAGACUCCUCCAGGAACUUGCUGAUUCCUAGCUGUACAAGGUCAGUGCUUUACUUACGUUCCCAGAGGGAAGUGAGUGUAUAGGAAGCUUUGAAUGAAAGGCGGCCUCAUGUACCACAAUUCUCUAGAACAGAUGUACUAGUUCAAUUGUUGUGGGUAACUGCUUCCUUAGAAAAUGCUGUGAUAUUGAAGCCGGACCUGCAGUAUGCAAGCAAAUGGGGAUGGUUCACGAGUUCCCUGAUAAUUUCAGUUUCAGUAAACUGGCAGGUAUGGUUUGCAUGACUGAUCCUUAUACUGCACUUGGAUGGGCGUGGUUAUCAUAGCAGUGAUUCAGGAGCUGGGAAAUACGUACAUUAUUACUAGUUGAGUUAAUGAUGUGUACUAAGGUUAGUAGAGGAAUUGUGAUAAUCUGUAGAAGUAAGUUCAGGGUGUGUUGGGAAUUGGAACUACAGUACUGGUUGUCCUUGAGCAGAGAUGCAGGUAUGGUGGUUCAUUUUCAGAGUGGAAAUUCAAGUCCGACGAAACUGAAGCUUCAACCACUGCAAUCCUCAACGGGCGACGGCUAUCCUACGGUCAGGUGAAAGACCUCUAGAGACAAAGCUGCCCCCUUCAUCACCUCGUGUGUAGUGGUUCAUGCCCUUGUUCAUUUUAGUUAGACACACCAACAGUCAAGCUUUGCGCCCUAGAUGUUGCUGCAGUUUCAGGCUUUCAGCUGUAUACAAAUUUCCGACCACAGAGUCUGUCUCGUCUUGUUGUAAUUUUAUCGCGCUGGAAUCUUAAAUCUUGUAAGCACAGAUGUGUCUUUUCUGUUAGUAUGUUGUUGAAUCAUUGGCGAGUAGAACGUCCACAUUUGUUUG